rnacentral:sRNA from 1 species
AGUGUCCCGAAGCGGGGCUUGGGAGGUCGUUCUCAGAGGCGUGGCGUGGUGUGGUGCGGGGCUUGUUCCGUGGAGCUCAGGGAUGUGCCCCUGCUCAGGCGAACCUGCGGUCUUCCGCGACUCUGACCGCUUCUCCUGGCAUGACCCGCACCUGUGGCGCUCUGGGGACGAGGCACCUGGCCUCUUCUUCGUGGACGCCGAGCGCGUGCCCUGCCGCCACGACGACGUCUUCUUUCCGCCUAGUGCCUCCUUCCGCGUGGGGCUCGGCCCUGGCGCUAGCCCCGUGCGUGUCCGCAGCAUCUCGGCUCUGGGCCGGGUGAGCACUGAGGGGCGGGAGGCUCGGGUCCCCUCUCCCCACCUCGGCCCGCCCCCGCCCCUCCUGGUCUGCACACGUUGGGUCUGAGCACUCAUAUGAUGUCUCUUCCUCGGGCUGGCUCCGGUGGGGACCUGGCUGCCCGCAGACGUUCACGCGCGACGAGGACCUGGCUGCUUUCCUGGCGUCCCGCGCGGGCCGCCUACGCUUCCACGGGCCGGGCGCGCUGAGCGUGGGCCCCGAGGACUGCGCGGACCCGUCGGGCUGCGUCUGCGGCAACGCGGAGGCGCAGCCGUGGAUCUGCGCGGCCCUGCUCCAGCCCCUGGGCGGCCGCUGCCCCCAGGCCGCCUGCCACAGCGCCCUCCGGCCCCAGGGGCAGUGCUGUGACCUCUGUGGAGCCGUUGUGUUGCUGACCCACGGCCCCGCAUUUGACCUGGAGAGGUACCGGGCGCGGAUACUGGACACCUUCCUGGGCCUGCCUCAGUACCAGGGGCUGCAGGUGGCCGUGUCCAAGGUGCCACGCUCGUCCCGGCUCCGCGAGGCCGAUACGGAGAUCCAGGUGGUGCUGGUGGAGACCGGGCCCGAGACGGGCGGCGCGGGGCGGCUGGCCCGGGCCCUCCUGGCGGACGUCGCCGAGAACGGCGAGGCCCUCGGCGUCCUGGAAGCGACCAUGCGGGAGUCGGGCGCACACGUCUGGGGCAGCUCCGCGGCUGGGCUGGCGGGCGGCGUGGCGGCUGCGCUGCUGCUGGCGCUGCUGGUCCUGCUGGUGGCGCCGCCGCUGCUGCGCCGCGCGGGGAGGCUCAGGUACGCGGGGCGGGGGGCGGAGGUGGGGCUGGGGGUUGCUCCGAGGGGCUCACGCUGCGUCCCCGCUACGUCCUCAGGUGGAGGCGGCACGAGGAGGCGGCCCCGGCUGGAGCGCCCCUUGGCUUCCACAACCCGGUGUUCGACGUGAAGGCCUCCGAGGAGCUGUGUCAGGUGCAAACUGGAGAGCAAGCCUGAGCUGACUGGACACCACCUGCCAGCCACUGCUCACCCGUCACAGAUGCGACUGUGCUGGCAGGGACCUGCCCCUGGUGUGGGGUGUGGAAGGAGAGAUGCUCUGGGCUUCCAGGGGAGCCGCUUGCUGCAACAGCAGCCCAGGCCAUGCUGCCUGGCACAGAGCGCAAGGUCCCAAGUGUCCCCGCUGGGUGCUGGGCUGCCUGCCCUGGCUUGCAGUCUUCUCCCAGGUCCGCACUCUUCUGCAGGGGCCGUCACUGCCCUUGUCUUACCAAGGACAACUAGGUCUCAGUGAGUGGCAAAUAGAAGCCAACUCCCUGCAUAACUCAGGAAACUGACUCCGAGCAUUCCCUCAACCAGGCACCACUCACCCUGGCCCAGGCCUCCCCGAGAGCUCCUGCCUCUUCCUGGGGCCUCUGGCCUGCCCCAUCCUGUCCCUUGGGGCUGCUGGCGGGGUUAGCGUGUAUGGGUGUGGACAGGCAGACCCUCCAGGGCAGCUCCCUCCUGGGGCCCUGGCACUGCCUGGCUGGGUCUCACAGGCACGCUGCCCUCCUCCACCCUUCACUCCUGCCCCAAGGAUGCCCUCUGCUUGGGCUGAACACCCCAACAGCAGCCUUUUGUGUGACCUCCGAGAGAGUUACCCAGAAUAGCUUCCGCUGGCGAAUAGCUUCCGCUGGCAAGGUGGCUCCUUCACUGCCUUUUGGAGCUCAGACACUUCUGGGGCCCAGACACGGGUGACAUGCUACCACAUCCAGACGGACCACUGGGAACUUUAAAACUGCCGUCUUCUGCUUUAUUGACAGCCUUGCCAAGCAGCCGACUGGUGGGAGGACAGGGGAAGCCUGGCCCAAGCUGUGGACAAGCUGUGUCUGCCGCCACAGUUAAUCACAAGCCUCUGACGACACAGGGCCACAGAGCUGGUCACUCAACAUCUGGUACAAAGAAGGGAGGCGGAAGCCGUGGAAGCGAGUAGAAAGCAGAGAGCACAGCUGACUUCACAGUAGAUACUGGUGACACUUCAUGGCUGCGACCCAGAAUGAACUUAACGCACACAGGGACGCAGGGUGUCACUGGUCCCGGGUCUCUGUCCAUGACUAGGUGGUCAGCAGGACCUCUGCAGCUGACUAUGCAAUGGCUAAAUGAAAAAAAGGCCACAAACUAACCUCCACUUUCCUGUCUUCAAAAUUCUAGUGACACUGGGAAUGCUAUACGACCUCCUACUAUUCUCCUAAGGUCCUAGGAAAGUUUCAGGAACUAGGGAAAAGACUGGGUACUGAGGCUGUGUCCCCAGAUGUCUGCUUCCGAAGCAGCCGCGUCAUGACGGGUUUCUGCUGAGGAAGUGGCGUUGGCAGGGCCCCAUAUGCCUUCUCGGGUUGUCAGGGGUGGGAGACAGGCUGUAUGGGGGUCCUUCAUUGCAGACGGAACAGUGUCGCCUCACAGCUGUGCAGACGAACAGAUGUGGUCUACUGCCACGAACAAUGCGGCAUAAAACUGAUCAAUAUUAUAAUAAAGAUUUGUCUUCUUCAUCUCC